rnacentral:rRNA from 1 species
AACGAACGCUGGCGGCAGGCCUAACACAUGCAAGUCGUGCGCGCCCUUCGGGGUGAGCGGCGGACGGGUGAGUAACGCGUGGGAACGUGCCCUUUUCUACGGAAUAGCCUCGGGAAACUGAGAGUAAUACCGUAUACGCCCUUUGGGGGAAAGAUUUAUCGGAAAAGGAUCGGCCCGCGUUGGAUUAGGUAGUUGGUGGGGUAAUGGCCUACCAAGCCGACGAUCCAUAGCUGGUUUGAGAGGAUGAUCAGCCACACUGGGACUGAGACACGGCCCAGACUCCUACGGGAGGCAGCAGUGGGGAAUCUUAGACAAUGGGGGCAACCCUGAUCUAGCCAUGCCGCGUGAGUGAUGAAGGCCUUAGGGUUGUAAAGCUCUUUCAGCUGGGAAGAUAAUGACGGUACCAGCAGAAGAAGCCCCGGCUAACUCCGUG